rnacentral:rRNA from 1 species
CAAGUCGAACGCCCCGCAAGGGGAGUGGCAGACGAAGUAGUAAUACGCAGGUACGUACCGAAGAGUCGGGCAUAGCUAGCCGAAAGGUUAGGUAAUUCCCGAUGGUUCCCGAAAGGGUAAAGGGGCAACCCGCUCUUUGAACGGCCUGCGCGGUAUCAGCUUGAUGGUAGGGUAACGGCCUACCAUGGCUACGACACCUAGGGGAGCUGAGAGGCUGACCCCCACUGAUAGGACUGAGACACGGCCUAUACAUCUACGGAUGGCUGCAGUCGAGAAUCUUCCACAAUGGACGAAAGUCUGAUGGAGCGACGCCGCGUGGUUGAUGAAGUCCUUCGGGACGUAAAAACCUUUUAUGGGGGAGGAAGUAAUUGACGUUACCCCAUGAAUAAGGGGCUCCUAACUCUGUGCCAGCAGGAGCGGUAAUACAGAGGCCCCGAGCAUUAUCCGGAAUCACUGGGCGUAAAGGGUGCGUAGGCGGCGAUGUUAGUCUCUCGUUAAAGUUCUCGGGCUUAACCCAGGAAAUGCGGGGGAAACGGCAUCGCUUUGAGGAUAUGAGAGGUAUAGGGAACUCAUGGUGUAGGGGUGAAAUCCGUUGAUAUCAUGGGGAACACCAAAUGCGAAGGCACUAUACUGGCAUACUCCUGACGCUGAGGCACGAAAGCGUGGGAAUCGAAAAGGAUUAGAUACCCUUGUAGUCCACGCCCUAAACGAUCCUAACUGGCUUUAGGGAGUAUCGACCCUCUCUGAGGCGAAGCUAACGCGUUAAGUUAGGCGCCUGGGUAGUACGAUCGCAAGAUUAAAACUCAAAGGAAUAGACGGGGACUUGCACAAGCGGUGGAUCAUGCGGCUUAAUUCGAUGGCAAACGAAGAACCUCACC